GGGCGUAUAGCUCAGCGGGAGAGCACUACGUUGACAUCGUAGGGGUCACAAGUUCGAUCCUUGUUACGCCCACCA
rnacentral:tRNA from 25 species